GAAGUGCGAUAAGCAAUGCGAAUUGCAGAACCGUGAGUCAUCAGAUUUUUGAACGCAACUGGCGCUGGCUGGGUCUCCAGCCAGCAUGCUUGUUUCAGUGUCUUGUUUUCUCCUCACCCAAAACUUAAUGCGAGAGAUAUCCUUCUCUUGUCAAGCAUGAAAGCACUCUGCGCUCUGCGAGCGGCUCUUGACUCGUUCAAGUGUCGCACUCAAUGCAGCCGUCACAUUUCUAACAAUGUGAACUCAUUGAGAGCAGAGGCUGUCAGCUAACGCUGUCAGUGCUUAGUCACUCAAACUUUCUUUGCAUCUGAAAUCAAGCAGGAUCACCCGCUGAACUUAA
rnacentral:misc_RNA from 1 species